UACGAAUAUUGAUCAAUCUGUCACCCAUUCUAAUGCUACUCUUGUUUCCAGUAAUACAGGCAGUUUGAAGUUACAACCAUUGGGCCUGAGAAAUAAGACAGACCAAUUUAAAGGACAAACUGGUGAAGGCGGAUAUAUCACAGAGACAAGUGGGCACUCAGAGGUGGACUUUGGGAUAUACUGAACACUCACCUGAUGACUAAAAUAAUUGUUAUAGUUUUAUUAAUAAAACGUUGUAGAUUGACUAUUUAUGUGAGUUUCAU